rnacentral:tRNA from 1 species
ACCCCUGUAGCCCAACGGAAGAGGCAGCGCGCUCAGAACGCGUACGGUGCAGGUUCGAAUCCUGCCAGGGGUA